GGUUCGAUGGUGUAGUUGGUUAUCACUUCUGUCUAACAGCGCUCGCGUUUGCGUAACCUGUCGCACAGGCGGUCCUCAGUUCGAACCUGGGUCGAAUCA